rnacentral:rRNA from 1 species
CCAGCAGCCGCGGUAAUACGUAGGGUCCAAGCGUUAUCCGGAUUUAUUGGGUGUAAAGGGCGAGUAGACGGUGUUACAAGUCAGAUGUGAAAACUUGGGGCUCAACCUCAAGACUGCAUCUGAAACUGUAAUACUAGAGUGCAGGAGAGGAAAGUGGAAUUCCUAGUGUAGCGGUGAAAUGCGUAGAUAUUAGGAGGAACACCAGUGGCGAAGGCGACUUUCUGGACUGUAACUGACGUUGAGGCGCGAAAGUGUGGGGAGCAAACAGGAUUAGAUACCCUGGUAGUCCACACCGUAAACGAUGGAUACUAGGUGUAGGCACGCAAGUGUCUGUGCCGUCGCAAACGCAAUAAGUAUCCCACCUGGGGAGUACGGCCGCAAGGUUGAAACUUAAAGGAAUUGGCGGGGGAU